AUGUUUGUCCCUGUCUGGAUUUCAGGUAGCACAAAUCCCAGCAUAGCACAACAGGUAUGGAGGAACUUUUCCUUGAAGUUCCUCAAGCCGCGCCGGCCAGGGACGAAGCCCCGAUCAAAGCCAUCAGAACUACAGGCAAAUAGUCUCAAGGCUCAGAACCCAACACAUGCAGAGCCACAGGGAAGGCAGCAGCUCCACGAGUCCAUGAGAGGAACAGAGAUGACUGGUAACACAAUGAUUUCCACCUCCCACCAUCAGGAGCAGGCUAAGCCUCAGGCCAGCCAAGCAGACCCUACUGCACCAGCAUUGCUAUCCCAAGCUCCAGGCAGCUCCUGCUGCUCUCAUAGGCCUUUGGCAGUGAGCUCACAGACACACCAGACCGAAAGCACAGGACAGCAGCCGCUGCUCUUUAUCUUCAAGCAGCAAAUGCCCCCCCCUGCCAUGGCUGCUGGGGGUCCUGCAGAGCUGAAGCGUUCGGCACCUUUAGAAAUGGAAAUAGUGCCACAGUGCACCCAGCCAGCAUCCAUCUCCAUGCAGCUGACCCCACAAGGGAAUUCUGUCCAGCAGUGUUCGCAGCCCCCAGCUCUGCAAAAUAAGGGCAAGUCGGCUCCAGUCACCUGCCAGCCUUCCAGGGUCAGGCAAGUGCCAGUGGGAGCCAGCGUUUCCCCUCCCUGCCUGGAGAUCAUCUCGCUGAAGGAAGGCUUUGCCAUCAAAACCUUUCCCAGGUGCAGCCAAAGCUGUUCGCCUGCAGACCCCAACAGAGCCCACACUGAGCCUCUGCCAAGGGUUACCAAGGCACAGAGCACUCCUGCGAGAAGCCGAGCACCAAGGUCUGUGCCCCUGGUAAGGCUGAAAGGAGGAAUGAAAUCUGGGUUUCCCCAGGGGCAACCCUCACCUACUGCAGUGGUGUCUGGGUGGGAGGGUGACACGUGCCCCAGAUCCUCUACCCAGGGAACCGCAUCCCAGAGAGCCUCAAAUGCCAGCUCCCCAAAUGAUAUCUAA
rnacentral:lncRNA from 1 species